UAUAGGGGGUGAAAAACCUCCUCGCCGGAAGACCAAGGGUUCCUGUCCAACGUUAAUCGGGGCAGGGUGAGUCGACCCCUAAGGUGAGGCCGAAAGGCGUAAUCGAUGGGAAACGGGUUAAUAUUCCCGUACUUCUGACUAUUGCGAUGGGGGGACGGAGAAGGCUAGGUGGGCCAGGCGACGGUUGUCCUGGUUCAAGUGCGUAGGCUUGAGAGUUAGGUAAAUCCGGCUCUCUCUAAGGCUGAGACACGACGUCGAGCUGCUACGGCAGUGAAGUCAUUGAUGCCAUGCUUCCAGGAAAAGCCUCUAAGCUUCAGAUAGUCAGGAAUCGUACCCCAAACCGACACAGGUGGUCGGGUAGAGAAUACCAAGGCGCUUGAGAGAACUCGGGUGAAGGAACUAGGCAAAAUGGUACCGUAACUUCGGGAGAAGGUACGCUCUUGAUGGUGAAGUCCCUCGCGGAUGGAGCUGACGAGAGUCGCAGAUACCAGGUGGCUGCAACUGUUUAUUAAAAACACAGCACUGUGCAAAAUCGCAAGAUGACGUAUACGGUGUGACGCCUGCCCGGUGCCGGAAGGUUAAUUGAUGGGGUUAGCGCAAGCGAAGCUCUUGAUCGAAGCCCCGGUAAACGGCGGCCGUAACUAUAACGGUCCUAAGGUAGCGAAAUUCCUUGUCGGGUAAGUUCCGACCUGCACGAAUGGCGUAAUGAUGGCCACGCUGUCUCCACCCGAGACUCAGUGAAAUUGAAAUCGCUGUGAAGAUGCAGUGUACCCGCGGCUAGACGGAAAGACCCCGUGAACCUUUACUACAGCUUGGCACUGAACAUUGAACCUACAUGUGUAGGAUAGGUGGGAGGCUAUGAAGACGUGACGCCAGUUGCGUUGGAGNCGUCCUUGAAAUACCACCCUUGUAUGUUUGAUGUUCUAACUUAGACCCAUUAUCUGGGUUGAGGACAGUGCCUGGUGGGUAGUUUGACUGGGGCGGUCUCCUCCCAAAGAGUAACGGAGGAGCACGAAGGUGGGCUAAUCACGGUUGGACAUCGUGAGGUUAGUGCAAUGGCAUAAGCCCGCUUAACUGCGAGAAUGACGGUUCGAGCAGGUGCGAAAGCAGGUCAUAGUGAUCCGGUGGUUCUGUAUGGAAGGGCCAUCGCUCAACGGAUAAAAGGUACUCCGGGGAUAACAGGCUGAUACCGCCCAAGAGUUCAUAUCGACGGCGGUGUUUGGCACCUCGAUGUCGGCUCAUCACAUCCUGGGGCUGAAGUCGGUCCCAAGGGUAUGGCUGUUCGCCAUUUAAAGUGGUACGCGAGCUGGGUUUAGAACGUCGUGAGACAGUUCGGUCCCUAUCUGCCGUGGGCGUUGGAAGAUUGAAGGGGGCUGCUCCUAGUACGAGAGGACCGGAGUGGACGAACCUCUGGUGUUCGGGUUGUGUCGCCAGACGCAUUGCCCGGUAGCUAAGUUCGGAAUUGAUAAGCGCUGAAAGCAUCUAAGCGCGAAGCGAGCCCUGAGAUGAGUCUUCCCUGACAGUUUAACUGUUCUAAAGGGUUGUUCGAGACUAGAACGUUGAUAGGCAGGGUGUGUAAGCGUUGUGAGGCGUUGAGCUAACCUGUACUAAUUGCCCGUGAGGCUUAACCA
rnacentral:rRNA from 1 species